AGAAUCAACGCUGGCGGCGUGCCUAACGACGAUGCAAGUCGAACGAGAAAGUGGAGCAAUCCAUGAGUAAAGUGGCGACCGGGUGAGUAACACGUGACCAAUCUACCCUUGAGUGGGGGAUAACCUCGGGAAACCGGGGCUAAUACCGCAUAAUAUCCUUGGAACGGAAGUACUGGGGAUCAAAGGAGCAAUUCGCUUAAGGAGGAGGUCGCGGCUGAUUAGCUAGUUGGCGGGGUAAUGGCCCACCAAGGCAAAGAUCGGUAGCCGGCCUGAGAGGGCGCACGGCCACACUGGAACUGAAACACGGUCCAGACUCCUACGGGAGGCAGCAGUGGGGAAUUUUGCGCAAUGGGGGAAACCCUGACGCAGCAACGCCGCGUGGAGGAUGAAGUCCCUUGGGACGUAAACUCCUUUCGACCCGGACGAUAAUGACGGUACGGGUGGAAGAAGCCCCGGCUAACUUCGUGCCAGCAGCCGC
rnacentral:rRNA from 1 species